rnacentral:rRNA from 1 species
AGUGAACGCUGGCGGUAGGCCUAACACAUGCAAGUCGAACGGCAGCACAGUAAGAGCUUGCUCUUACGGGUGGCGAGUGGCGUACGGGUGAGGAAUACAUCGGAAUCUACUUUUUCGUGGGGGAUAACGUAGGGAAACUUACGCUAAUACCGCAUACGACCUACGUGUGAAAGCAGGGGAUCUUCUGACCUUGCGCGAUUGAAUGAGCCGAUGUCGGAUUAGCUAGUUGGCGGGGUAAAGGCCCACCAAGGCGACGAUCCGUAGCUGGUCUGAGAGGAUGAUCAGCCACACUGGAACUGAGACACGGUCCAGACUACUACGGGAGGCAGCAGUGGGGAAUAUUGGACAAUGGGCGCAAGCCUGAUCCAGCAAUACCGCGUGGGUGAAGAAGGCCUUCGGGUUGUAAAGCCCUUUUGUUGGGAAAGAAAAGCAGCAGGUUAAUACCCCGCUGUUCCGACGGUACCCAAAGAAUAAGCACCGGCUAACUUCGUG